CAGAGGUCCCAAGCGUUGUUCGGAUUUACUGGGCGUAAAGGGUGCGUAGGUGGUGAGGUAAGUCGGAUGUGAAAUCUCCGGGCUCAACCCGGAAAUGGCAUUGGAAACUACCUUGCUCGAGGAUUGGAGGGGGGACUGGAAUACUUGGUGUAGCAGUGAAAUGCGUAGAUAUCAAGUGGAACACCAGUGGCGAAGGCGAGUCCCUGGACAACUCCUGACACUGAGGCACGAAAGCUAGGGGAGCAAACAGGAUUAGAUACCCUGGUAGUCCUAGCCGUAAACGGUGCUUGCUUGCUGUAAAAGGAAUCGACCCCUUUUGUGGCGGAGCUAACGCGAUAAGCAAGCCGCCUGGGAAGUACGGUCGCAAGAUUA
rnacentral:rRNA from 1 species